GGCGGCGUGCCUAACACAUGCAAGUCGAACGAGAAGGGGGCUUCGGUCCCUGGAAAGUGGCGCACGGGUGAGUAACGCGUGGAUAAUCUACCUAGCGGUCUGGGAUAACAUCUCGAAAGGGGUGCUAAUACCGGAUAAGCCCACGAGGUCUACGGAUCUAGCGGGAAAAGGGGGGGGCCUUCGGGCCUUCUGCCACUGGAUGAGUCCGCGUACCAUUAGCUAGUUGGUGGGGUAAUGGCCCACCAAGGCUACGAUGGUUAGCUGGUCUGAGAGGAUGAUCAGCCACACUGGAACUGAGACACGGUCCAGACUCCUACGGGAGGCAGCAGUGGGGAAUAUUGGGCAAUGGGCGCAAGCCUGACCCAGCAACGCCGCGUGAGGGAAGAAGGCUUUCGGGUUGUAAACCUCUGUCCUUGGUGACGAAGAAAGUGACGGUAGCCAAGGAGGAAGCCCCGGCUAACUACGUGCCAGCAGCCGCGGUAAUACGUAGGGAGCAAGCGUUAUCCGGAUUCAUUGGGCGUAAAGCGCGCGUAGGCGGCUUAUUAAGUCAGGUGUCAAAUCUGAGGGCUCAACCCCCAGCCGCACCUGAAACUGGUAGGCUCGAGUUCGGUAGAGGAAAGUGGAAUUCCCAGUGUAGCGGUGGAAUGCGCAGAUAUUGGGAAGAACACCGGUGGCGAAGGCGGCUUUCUGGGCCGUAACUGACGCUGAGGCGCGAAAGCUAGGGGAGCAAACAGGAUUAGAUACCCUGGUAGUCCUAGCCGUAAACGAUGGGCACUAGGUGUGGGGAGAUCACUCUUUCC
rnacentral:rRNA from 1 species